CAUUCAUAUAAAUAAUAUACAAUUUAAGUCUUUCGUUUUGUAUUAUCGUUCUUGUUUCCUUCGAUAAAACUGUCGACAUCAACCAACACGAACCUCGAGUCGGAUAUGAUAUGUCAUAUUUUCCGUUUCAGGCUGGUUUUAAUGCAGGUGACGGGAUUAGAUAUUUUAGUAUUCCAAACUCUCGCACUCCUGCCAUUAUCAACAUUACUUCAACUUCAAACUAUCAAGUUCCUGGGUUGUGGAUAUUUCAAGUGGAUGGAGAGUCUGUUAAAAAUCAUGGUUGUACAUCGAGCGGCGGUAUGGUA